GCUUGUCUCUCUCCUUUCUCCCCAAUCUGUGUCCCCAGUUCACUAUAGCCAUCUCCCUCAAUGCUGGGACCCCUAUCAUCUCCUUCAGUGCAUUCCAGCCUGCUCUCCACUUUCACUUGGCCCUCCUAAUCCAUCCCAUCUACCUCUCCAUCUCAGGGUACCCCAACAUCCUCCAGGAGGCUUCAUCCCCACACCCCAACUCCAAUUGGCUCCAACCUAUUUCUCCGUUCCUAGGCCCCACUUUCCCAGCACCGCACUCCCCCAUGCCACCCACAGCCUGCCAGGUUUACCUUUCCAAUUCCUGUUUCUUUUCCGAGUCACACUUUGGCCCUCCAACCCCCCUCCACCCUGUCCUUAGUCUCUGAGGCUUCUGAAUCCCACAUUCCCUCAGUACAGCUUGGGAACCCUACACCCCUGUAUCCUGCAGUGCUGCUUUCACCCACAUAUAUCCCAGACAGUCAUUCAUUUGACUAAGCCAUGGAUGCACGGACCUCAAACUGCCUACUGAGCUUGUCCAUCGAUCAGCCCCAUGGACUGACUCUCUCCCCUUUCCUCUCCUUGUGUUGUCGCCCUUCAUAGGACACGGGCAGGCGAACUAGGUGUGCAUCCCCACAGGCUUGGUCUCAUGAGCCAUGGAGAAGUAGGAGGGGAUGAAAAUCUUGCAGGGUAGUGGAUAGUAGAGUGGAGCGGUGACUGUCAGUGUUGACUCAGUCUCUGUUCAUCGAGUGGGGCUGAUGUAGAUAGAAUGGGACAGGGAGUCAGGGAUGAGGGUACAGUUAAAUGUGCCAAUAGAGCUCUGUGUAGUGAUAGUUCUUGCUUGGCUUUAUUAGUUUGCAGAGGAAUCAUCCAGGAACCCUAGCUGGAGGAGAAGGUGGUAGAAGUAGAUCUGAGCAGCCUGGACAUCCUUCUAAAGAGACAUGAAUAGUCAUCAUGUUGCUGUCUUCUGCGUAUGUGGCUGAAUAAGAGUUCCUACUGAGAUCGAUCAGAUGAGAGAUUGGCCAACCUGUGGCAGAGACCAAAGAAGGAGCAGCAACCCUGAGCCCAUCCCUAGGGAUGGAAGCCAGACAGUGAUCUGCAGGGUAAAGAAGUGCUAUCCAAAGACUCUAGCAGCCCUGCCACUACUUGGAACCAGGAGACUGGAUCUAUGUAAAGGUCCACCAAUGAAAGACUCCCCUGGCUCCACGCUGGAAUGGCCCUUUCCAAGUCCUGUUAAUCACCAAUACUGCCCUGAAGUGCCAAGGAGUGACUGCCUGGACCCACGCUUCUCACUGCAAAAAGACCCCUCCACCUUGGGAGGAUUCUCCUACUGAUGAGUAGCCUAUUUGUCCUUCUAGCUCUGCUGUGCCUUCUGGACAGCAAGGAAA